rnacentral:rRNA from 1 species
ACGGCGAGUGAAGCGGUAACAGCUCAAAUUUGAAAUCUGGCUCCUUCGGAGUCCGAGUUGUAAUUUGUAGAAGAUGCUUUGGGUUACAGGUCCGGUCUAAGUUCCUUGGAACAGGGCGUCGUAGAGGGUGAGAAUCCCGUAUGCGGCCGUGACCCGUGCCCGUGUAAAGCUCUUUCGACGAGUCGAGUUGUUUGGGAAUGCGGCUCAAAAUGGGUGGUAAAUUUCAUCUAAAGCUAAAUAUAGGCCAGAGACCGAUAGCGCACAAGUAGAGUGAUCGAAAGAUGAAAAGCACUUUGGAAAGAGAGUUAAACAGUACGUGAAAUUGUUGAAAGGGAAGCGCUUGCAACCAGACUUGGGCGUCGUGGAUCAUCCAAGGUUUUCCUCGGUGCACUCGACGACGCGCAGGCCAGCAUCGGUUCGGAUGGCUGGAAAAAGGUCCUAGAAAUGUAGCUCCUUGCGGGGAGUGUUAUAGUCUAGGGCGCAAUGCAGCCCAACCGGACCGAGGACCGCGCUUCGGCUAGGAUGCUGGCGUAAUGGUUGUAAGCGACCCGUCUUGAAACACGGACCAAGGAGUCUAACAUCUAUGCGAGUGUUUGGGCGUUAAACCCAUACGCGGAAUGAAAGUGAACGUAGGUGAGAACCCGCAAGGGGGCAUCAUCGACCGAUCCUGAAGUCUUCGGACGGAUUUGAGUAAGAGCAUAGCUGUU